rnacentral:rRNA from 1 species
GACGAACGCUGGCGGCGUGCCUAAUACAUGCAAGUUGAGCGCUGAAGGUUGGUACUUGUACCAACUGGAUGAGCAGCGAACGGGUGAGUAACGCGUGGGGAAUCUGCCUUUGAGCGGGGGACAACAUUUGGAAACGAAUGCUAAUACCGCAUAAAAACUUUAAACACAAGUUUGAAGUUUGAAAGAUGCAAUUGCAUCACUCAAAGAUGAUCCCGCGUUGUAUUAGCUAGUUGGUGAGGUAAAGGCUCACCAAGGCGAUGAUACAUAGCCGACCUGAGAGGGUGAUCGGCCACAUUGGGCCUGAGACACGGCCCAAACUCCUACGGGAGGCAGCAGUAGGGAAUCUUCGGCAAUAGACGAAAGUCUGACCGAGCAACGCCGCGUGAGUGAAGAAGGUUGUCGGAUCGUAAAACUCUGUUGGUAGAGAAGAACGUUGGUGAGAGUGGAAAGCUCAUCAAGUGACGGUAACUACCCAGAAAGGGACGGCUAACUACGUG